rnacentral:rRNA from 1 species
UAUUGCCUACGGGGCGCAGCAGUGAGGAAUAUUGGUCAAUGGGCUUACGCCUGAACCAGCCAAGUCGCGUGAGGGAAGACUGCCCUAUGGGUUGUAAACCUCUUUUGUCAGGGAGCAACGCCGGCUACGUGUAGCCGGACUGAGAGUACCUGAAGAAAAAGCAUCGGCUAACUCCGUGCCAGCAGCCGCGGUAAUACGGAGGAUCCGAGCGUUAUCCGGAUUUAUUGGGUUUAAAGGGAGCGUAGAUGGGUUGUUAAGUCAGUUGUGAAAGUUUGCGGCUCAACCGUAAAAUUGCAAUUGAUACU